UAAAUACUCCCUCCGUCCCAAAAUUCUUGUCUUACAUUUGUCUAGAUACGGAUGUAUCUAACAAUAAAAUGUAACUAGAUACAUUUGUAUUUAGAAAAAUCGAAGACAAGAAUUUGGGCACGGUGGGAGUAUAAG
rfam:Triticum aestivum genome assembly, contig: Triticum_aestivum_CS42_TGACv1_scaffold_576885_7BL